rnacentral:lncRNA from 1 species
GUGCCGCCCAAAUAUCCAUUGGAAUUUGCCCUAAUUUACACACUUGAGAGAAUAGGAAUCGAUCCGCACACCGUGAAGCCGCCGACGAUUCGAUCCGCAGACCGUGAAUCAGCGUCGCUUUUCUUCUGGUUCAGGGGGACAAAUUUAAUUUUUCUGAUGCAUUAAAGAGAAAGAAGGUGUUGGCUUCAAGAACCAUGUCAUACAGGCCUUUGAUUCCUUCUUAUAUUCAGAUAUGUAAAACUAGCAGAGCAAAGAGCUAAAGAAUGAUAAAAUGCAAGCCUAAGGAUAAUGAUCAACUUCCUGAAGUUUUGUGAGUUGCACUGCAACCGACUUUCUCAUGAGUGUUUUGGAAAUACUGAAUGCAAUACUGAUAAACGUGUUGCCAAGGAACCGAGAGAAUAAUAUUUAAGGAACAAAUGAAGGGCUACUAAUCUUCAGAAGAUGGAAGUGCUUCCGUGGAUUAAUUUGUGGUUGUGACAAACAAAGAGCAUAAGGACACCGUUGACUUUAUGGUAGAGGCGUUAUUAACAAAUUGAUAAAAAAAGUGGAUGGUUGUGAUAUACCUACCAUCAGGGGCGCAACUUAGUGUAUGUCCGG